ensembl:lncRNA mucin-17-like
GAGCACUUCAAACCAGAUUGAUGGCAGGAUGGAAUACAGCUUCCAGGACGGAGAUGUCAUACAACCAGUCAGCUUCCUCAAUGAGCUACGUCUACCAACCACUACAACAGUGUUUCCAGAAACAACAUUUGGUUUCUCUGUAACUCCUUCAAACCUCAUGUAAGUGUUGGAUUUCUAUUUUGAGAACAAUGAAAAUUGGAGAAGGAAUUUUAUUGCAAAAAUCGGAUGUACAUUAAACAAAAGUGGUUAUAUUUACAGAUCUGGUUCAGGAGUGGUCACAAGCAAGCUGGUGUUCAACUCCUCAUCUCCAAUCCCCAGUGAAUCUCUGGUCCUCAGUGCUAUCAAAACUCUCCGUAAUUCCAGAGAGUCACAGCUCAAUGAAUCGGUGAAGGUGGUGAAUGUCACUUAUGAGAAAAUUUCAGAAUCCUCCUAUGCAGUCAUUUUUAAGUUUAAUAUGAGUGACAUCAGCAUGCCAAGGGACUCUGGACUCAGAAAUAACAUCUACCUGCAAGUAGAGAAUACCAUUAAUAAAGCGCUGAACACUCUUCUGAAUGAACCUAGCAGUCCAAAUUUACAACCCAAACCAUCCAUCUUCAAGAGUACAUUAAAUCAGAUUGAGGGCAGUAUGGUGUACAACUUCCAAGAUAUAGAUGUCAUAAAACCAGUCAACUUCCUACAGACACUUAAUUCACUGACAGUCUUAACGACAGCCAGCACUCUGACAACAAGCAUAACUUCUCCACUAACAUUGUUGGGGACGAUUUAUAUAAAUAUUCGAUUGGUGUUUAACACAUUGGGCCAAAUACCAAGUGAAACUAUCAUUCUACAGUUGGUCAAAUCUUUGAUUGGCCCACGUUACAGAACUAAAGAAGUCUCAACACCAACCCAGGAUGCAAGCCUUGUGAAUGUCACCUAUACAAAAAUUAAUGAUACCUCCUAUGCUCUCACAUUUGGAUUUGAAAUCAGCAAUAUAUCCAUGUCUGAGAAAAUUGAACUAAGGAAUGAAACUUACACUUUAAUCAAAAGCACUAUAAAUGGAUUGCUUAUCGAAAUCCUAAAGGACCCCUCAGCUUCUCAGUUUGAUCUCCAGCACAUUGAAUUGAACGAUAAUAGCACAGUGAUUCUGGCCAGUGUUCAGUAUGUUUUCUCAGAAAGUGACUUGAACACAAACAGCACCUUUGUCAAGGAAUUAUUCAAAGCUAAUGAAGUCUUAACGACAGCCAGCACUCUGACAACUACUCCACCGAUAGUGCUUGGCAGAGCGCUUAUAUUCAUUCGCCUCGUGUUUGUCACACUGGGCCCCCUGCCAAAUCCAGAGAAGGUUCUUGAGGUGGCCAACACUCUGCUGAACACGCGUCUCACAACUAAACAAGACACCAAAACACAAGCCCUGAGUGAUCCUGUGAGCUUUGUCAAUGUCACAUAUACAAAAAUAAAUGAGACGGCCUAUGCUCUCGACUUUGGAUUUGAAAUCAGCAAUAUAACCAUGUCUGAGAAGCUUGAACUCAGGGAUGGCACCCACCUGACAAUACAAGACUCUAUAAACACAUUGCUGGGCAAGAUGCUCCUCAGUAACUCCUCAGCUCCUCUCAUUAAGUUCCAACCAGCUGAUUUCACGGGUAAUUCCACAGUAAUUAAGGCCAAUGUAGAGUAUGUUUUCUCACCAAGUGACAUCACGAAACCCAGCAUCUUUGUUCAGGAACUUCUCCAACUUGACGGAGCGAGCAUUCUGACAACCACAACUUCACCACCGAUCUUGACUAGGAGGGGAAUUAUUAAGAUUCGUCUCGAGUUUAUCACACUGGGCCCAAGACCAAGUGAGAGUAAUGUUCUACAGGUGGUUAAAUCUAUGCUGGCCUCAAAUCUCACAACUAAACUAACCACGAGAGUAACAAGCAUGAGUGAACCUCUGUCCUUGGAGAAUGUUGAGUAUUUGGGUAUUAAUGACACCGCCUACGCACUCAUUUUUGCAUUUGAAAUAAACAAAGUAUCACUGACAGAGAUAAAUAGGAAAGAAGCCUAUCAAGAAAUCCAAAAGAAGAUAAAUGAUUUGGUGAUCCAGAUACUAAAGGACCCCUCGGUUAAUCUGCUCAUUCCAGCCGAUUUCAAGGAUGAUCUCUUUGUGAUUCAGGCCAAUGUUACGUAUGUUUUCUCACAACGUGACAGCAACACGGCCUCCGGUUUCUUGGUCAGUGCCCUUUUCACGGCUUUUACCACACCAGUUCCAACCACCAUGAACGCUACAACCUCCAACAAUGGUACAAACGUAGCAUGGAUUGUGGCUAUCAUUGUCCCCUGCGCUAUUGUCAUCGGGCUCGUACCUUGCUGGAUUCUCCUUUGCUGUUUGCUGUGUGGUUGCUGUGCAGCAAUCAGAAGACGUUGGCACAGAAGACAGUCGUACAAUGUGCAGUACACCACUCGAAACAGCCUCUUCUAGACAAUUCAGAGAUAUUUGACAAAAACAGGACUGAACACCAAUGACAACAUAAAAAUCAUGUAUUUUGGAUAUUCAAUAUGCUAUUCAAGACUGCUUCUUUUGUAGUAAUGAAAGUACUAUGUUAAUGCUUCUUUUAUAAAUUAUUUAUUUUAUUAUGCUAUAUAUAAACAGGUCCUCCAUAAAAUAUUCCUAAAUGUGAAAUUUUAAUACUUCCUAUAGUGUAUAAUGAAAUUGUAUUGUUGUUAUUUAUUUGUAUUUAUUUGUAAUAUUCUGUUUAUGUUUACAGUUAAUAAUCUUUUGCAAAUCAUUAGUCUGCUUGACACUACACAGUUUAAUUUAAAGGGACAAAAGGUAGAACAUUGGAAUUAGAGCUAUUAUUCAUUCAUGCUCCAUGCACUUUAACUUUAUAAAUGUAAAGCAAAUGUAAAGCAAGCACAUGAUGUAAAGGAAAUGCAAAAAAGCUAAUUUAUGUAAUUAAUUGGUAUGAACAUGUUAAACUGCAAAAAAAAAAAAAACUAAUAAAAAUACUAGAUCAAUAAAGAAUACAGAAAAAUACAGAGGUUUGUGUUUCUCGUUUCUCGCUUUUAAUGUUAGAUGUGCAACAACAUUGCAGUCAGUAGGCUGCUGUGGUUAGAGUAAAAUAAAUUGAAGUAAAAUUAAAUAAAAAAAAACUAGUUUUGCAAUAAUAAAUACAUAGUGGUAAUCAUUCAGGAAAAACAUGAAAAUAAAACUAAAAAAGCCCAGCAAUCAUAAAUGCAAUGAAUUGCAUUUAAAAUCUAUGCAUUUUAUGAUUUAUUUAUGUAAGGCAAGACACACCAGGGCUGUGUUCAGCAACUUCAGCCCCGACAAAAACGGUGCAAAACGUUUUUUUUUAAACGGAAACGGUGGUGCGUUGAGCACACUGUUCUGAUGACGCA